rnacentral:rRNA from 1 species
UACUAGAGUAGCACUCGCAUAUCAAUAAGCGGAGGAAAAGAAACUAACAAGGAUUCCCCUAGUAACGGCGAGUGAAGCGGGAAGAGCUCAAAUUUGAAAUCUUAAAGGGUUUUCCCUUUACGAAUUGUAGUUUAAAGAAGUGUUUUUCUGUUGAGGUUUUUGGUAAAAGUUCUUUGGAAUAGGACAUCAUAGAGGGUGAGAAUCCCGUAUUUGACCUUUACUUUCAACUUUGUGAUACACUUUCAAAGAGUCGGAUUGUUUGGGAAUGCAGUCCAAAAAUGGGUGGUAAAUUUCAUCUAAAGCUAAAUAUUGGCGAGAGACCGAUAGCGAACAAGUACCGUGAGGGAAAGAUGAAAAGAACUUUGAAAAGAGAGUUAAACAGUACGUGAAAUUGUCAAAAGGGAAGCGUUUGACACCAGUGUUGUUUUUUCUGAAAAUCAAUUAAAGAAACUGUUUAUGCUAAGUUGUUUAGACUUUAUCAGCUAUCUGCUUAGUUUUUGAGCUUUUCUUUAAUGCACUUUUCAGUUAACAAGUCAACAUCAAUUUCUUUUGCUGUAAAAAAAGCUUGAGGAAGGUGGCUUGAGAUUCGUCUUAAGUGUUUAUAGCCUCUUGCCUAUGCAGUCGGAGAGAUUGAGGUCUGCAGCGUAGAUCCUUCGGGGCUAAAUGCAUUUGUGCUAAGUUAUAGCAUUUUAUAGACAACUUGUUGACUAUGAUUUGUCUUGUAGCUUACUCGCUUAUGUUAUUUUACCUACGCUUAGGAUGUUGAACUCUAUCACACACA